UCUUCCUUAUCGAGAGCUAUUUACUCACCAAAUCCGCAGCCUCCCCCCACUGCGCCCCACUCGCAACUCCGUCGCCGUCGUCGUGUACAUUAAACCCUCCUCCACAAUCUCUGAUUCACCCAAAUUCUCUCUCUCGCACUUACAGAUACAGCGCGUGUAAAAAUAAUAUGAUAUAAAUAUACAUUGUAUAUGCACAAACAUUCCCCAAUUUGCCGAUAUGAUUUCUUUCUCCUCCGUUCAAUCCACCGCGGCGGCGGCGGCCGGCAGCACCGGUCUUUUACCUCAUUACGAUUUCCAUAAGUUAUCCUUCUCACUUCCAUCAAAACCAACUCAAUUUCGGUGUUAUUCACACCGGCGGCAGCAGGGCCUACGCAUCAGGGCCAUUGACGCGGCGCAGCCCUAUGAUUACGAGGCCUAUCUCAUCAACCGCUUCGAACAGUCCACCAAGCUCAAAAUUGCCGUAGUUGGGUUUGGAAACUUUGGUCAGUUCCUUGCUAAGGCCUUCAUCCGCCAGGGACACACUGUUUUCGCGCAUUCUCGGUCGGAUUACGCCUCCAUUGCACAAUCCCUUGGUGCUGCUUUCUUUUUUGAUACUCAUGAUCUAUGUGAACAACACCCUGAUGUAAUCCUUCUCUGUACCUCUAUAAUUUCUACUGAAUCGGUACUUAGGUCUCUCCCGAUACUACGGCUGAAGCGCAAUACGCUUUUUGUUGAUGUUCUAUCAGUAAAAGAGUUUGCGAAGAAUGUUUUCCUGCAAGUUCUUCCUACGCAUUUCGAUAUUCUCUGUACUCACCCAAUGUUUGGCCCUGAAAGUGGGAAAAACGGCUGGCAAAAUUUGCCUUUUGUAUAUGAAAAAGUGAGGAUUGGGAAUGAAGACUCUAGAUUUGCACGGGUCGAGAAUUUCUUGGACAUUUUCAAGAAGGAGGGGUGUAGGAUGGUGGAGAUGACUUGUGCAGAGCAUGAUAAAUAUGCUGCUGGAUCACAGUUUAUCACACACACAAUGGGGAGGAUUUUGGAGAAGUUACAGUUGGAUAGCACUCCAAUCAAUACCAAAGGGUAUGAGACUUUGCUGGACUUGGUGGAAAAUACAGCCAGUGACAGUUUUGAUCUGUACUACGGGUUGUUUAUGUACAAUAAAAAUGCAAUGGAGCAAAUUGAGAGAUUGGAUUUGGCAUUUGAGGCUUUGAAGCAGGAGCUGUUUGGACAUUUGCAUGAGGUCUUGCGAAAGCAGUUGUUUGGGAAGGCUGAGGCUGGGAUGCGGAGUCCAGUUCUGGCAAAGUUGCCCAAGAAUGGGACACCUUUGUUGCCGGCUCAGUCAGAGACCUUGGAGAAUAAUGAUAAUUAGGAUGGUUUCUAUUUGUAUUUGAAAAGGGGGAUAAAAUUGCCACGCUCCAUCUAUCACCACCUGCUGCCACCAUACCAUCACGACCACUGUCAAAUUGUCGGUAACCACGAACAAACUGCCGAUGAUUGACCAAUGAAUACUUUCUAUUGGCUGGUUACAACCGUUUCAGUAGAAACUACUUUUCUUUUGUCAACAAUCGUCAAGCAGUUGCUUGCAACCACCAACUGGCCACUGGAAACUAGUCUUCUGUCGUUUGCUUUAAUCACCUGGUGACCUAUGGCCACCGUGGAAAGGGCUUUUGGCGACAAUUAUUCAGUCAACAACAAAUAUUUAUUAGUUAAAGACAUUAGGAAAAAGGAAUGGUGUCAAUUCUGCUGAUCAAACGACAGCUGCUGGUAUAUGGACUCUGGCGUACUGCUUAUAACUUAUAUAAGUAAAUGAAUUUCUUUCCUUUUCCUUAUAAAUUUAUUUCAUCUAUUUCUGGUAUUCUGCCAGGUUGUAGCUUUUUAUUGUAUACAAGCUGUUGUAUGAGGUCCAGUUUCAUCAAUGUCAUAAAUGAAGCCUUCAGGGCUGAUUUUGUUUGUGUUUCUGCAAAUCAACCGUUGACAAAUUUGAAUUUUAAUGUGUUUUUUCAUGCUAAUUUUUUCUCUGGGGUUUCAUUA